rnacentral:rRNA from 1 species
AAGCGCUCAUGGCCAGACGCGGGCCUGUUUGAUCAACCUGGGUUCUCCCGGGUGCACUCUUUCAGGCUCGGGCCAGCAUCAGCUCGCCGCGGGGGACAAAGGCUUCGGGAAUGUGGCUCCCCUCGGGGAGUGUUAUAGCCCGUUGCGCAAUACCCUG